CCUACGGGAGGCAGCAGUGGGGGAUAUUGCACAAUGGGGGAAACCCUGAUGCAGCGACGCCGCGUGUGGGAAGACGGUCCUCUGGAUUGUAAACCACUGUCCCCAGGGACGAAGAUGACGGUACCGGGGGAGGAAGCUCCGGCCAACUACGUGCCAGCAGCCGAGGUAAGACGUAGGGAGCGAGCGUUGUCCGGAAUUACUGGGGGUAAAGGGAGCGUAGGGGGGGAUGCAAGUUGGGUGUCAAAACUACCGGCUCAACUGGUAGUCGCACUCAAAACUGCAGCUCUUGAGUGAAGUAGCGGCAGGCGGAAUUCCUUGUGUAGCGGUGAAAUGCGUAGAUAUUAGGCGGAAC
rnacentral:rRNA from 1 species